rnacentral:rRNA from 1 species
UACGUAGGAGGCGAGCGUUGUCCGGAAUUACUGGGCGUAAAGCGCGCGUAGGUGGCGCGGUACGACCGCUGUGAAAGCCCCCGGCUCAACUGGGGAGGGUCAGUGGUAACGGCCGUGCUGAGAGUGCAGGAGAGGGAAGUGGAACUCCGGGAGUAGCGGUGAAAUGCGUAGAGACCCGGAGGAACACCAGUGGCGAAGGCGGCUUCCUGGCCUGUGACUGACGCUGAGGCGCGAAAGCUAGGGGAGCGAACGGG